GGGGCCAGGGAUCAAAUCCAAGCCACAGGUGCAAGCUAUGCCCCAAAUGCGGCAGUGCUGGAUCCUUUAACCCACCACACCAGGCUGGGGAUUGAACCCAUACUGCCACAGAGGGAACUCCCAGGACUCCACAUUUUUAAUGUAUAUUUUGUGAAACAUGGACUUGAAGCUUGGAAGGUCUACUAUGCUAACUGAUCACUACGCACAAUUCCAGCUCUUCCCCUAUCUCUGGAGAAUGGAGAGUAGGGCUGAGAACUCCAAGUUUCUAAUCAUGGCUUGGUCUUUCUCAUGACUAGCCCCCAUCUAAGAGCCCACCAAAGGUCACUUAGUUGGAACAAAAGACACUGCUAUCACCCAGGAAAUUCCAAGGGGUUUAGGAACUCUGUGUCAGAACUGGGGUCAAAGACCAAUUAUUAGAACAAAAGACACUUCUAGGCUAUUAUCACUUAGGAAAUCACAAAGGUUUCAGGAGCUCUGCCAGGAACCAAGGGCAGGUAUCUAUAUAUCUAUCUAUAUAGAUAGAUAGGUAUAUAGAUAUAUAUAUUUCUAUCAUCUCACAAUGAAUAAAUAUAAUUUUUAAAAUGAUAAUUAACAGUGAUAAAUUAUAAAAAUCAAAAGAACAUAUAUACAUUAUUUUAAAAUUAGCAAUAAAAUUACUCUAUCAGUAAUUUAGUACUGAAUACCACCAACAUAAAAGAAAUAUAUUGAAUGGAGUUCCCACUCCAGGGAGGAAGGAAACCAAUCUGACUAGGAACCAUGAGAUUGAGGGUUGGAUCCCUGGCCUUGAUCAGUGGGUUAAGGAUCUGGCGUUGCCAUGGGCUGUGGUGUAGGUCUCAGAUACAGCUUGGAUCCUGCAUUUCUGUGGCUGUGGUGUAGGUGAGCAGCUGUAGCUGAUUUGACCCCUGGCCUGGGAACCUCCAUAUGCCACAGGUACAGCCCUAGAAAAAGCAAAAAAAAAAAAAAAAGAGUUCCCGUCAUGGUGCAGCAGAAACUAAUCCAACUAGGAACCAUGAGGUUGCGGGUUCCAUCCCUGGUCUUGCUCAGUAGGUUAAGGAUCCGGCAUUGCCUUGACCUCUGGUGUAGGUCGCAGACUCGGCUUGAAUCUGGCGUUGCUGUGGCUCCGGUGUAGACUGGCAGCUAUAGCUCUGAUUAGACCCCUAGCCUGGGAACCUCCAUAUGCUGCGGGUGUGGCCCUAAAAAGAAAAAAAAAGAAAAAAAAAUAUAUACAUAGAGAGAGAGAGCGAGAGAGAAUGGUACGACAUUUGGCAGACAUAUAAGGAAAUUUUUAUUCUAGUUUAAAAAAAAAACAAAACCCUGAAAAAACACCCAAGAAUUAGGUGGACUGAAUUCUAGUCCUGAUUCCACCAACCACCCAAAGCUGAGUGAGUUACCUAAUUUCUCUAUUUCUGUAUCCUCAACUUGUAGAUGGGGAAAAUAACAUCUGGUGUCCUUGACCUCACAGGGUAAUUUUGAAACUCUCAUAAAGGAUAGAAGUAUGCUCUAAAAAAUCAUCCAACAGGGAUUUCCCAUUGUGGCUCAGUGGGAACGAACCCAAUUAGUAUACAUGAGGAUUCUGGUUGGCUCCCUGGCCUUGAGAAAGUGAUGAAGCUUCUCUGGGCCAAGAGCUUUCCAGGCAGAGGGAAGUGCUAGUUAACACUCUGAGGUGGGAGUCAGUGGGAGCUGUGGGGCCAGAGCCAUGUGAGUUUGGGAAGGAGUAAUGGAACGGUCAGGUCCCUUGUAGACCUCAGUAAAAACCUACACCUUUACUGUGAGGAAGGGAUUUUUUUUUCAGAUUUUGAGUAACUAGAGGAAUAACACAGUCUGAUUUAUCCUGGCUGCUGUAUUGAGAAUAAUCUAUAGGGGAUCCAGGGAGACCAAUUAGGAGGCUAUUGCAGACAUGACUCAUGUGAUGGUGAAGAAGCAUGAUGGUGGAUUAGAUCACAUAGCAGGAAUGGAAAUGGUGAGAAGUGGUCAGAUUCUGGAUAGUGCCCUAAGACUCCCUGAGGGAUUACAGGUGGGUUUUCAGAAAAAGGAUUACAAAAUGACUCCUAGGCUUUCGGUUUCCAAAUGAAGAUGCUUAUUCUCCAGGAGGAAUAAAAGACAAUGCAAACUAUUUACAAGAAACACAGAAAGUGGAUAUGAGUUCAGUCUAGUCUUUAUGGAUUUGAGAGCUGUCUGUGCUGAAAUGAUUCAGGUAAGGGCCUGGGCUGAUAAGGAAGGACCAAAAACUGGAGCCAGGAUUUGGGCAGAGCUGAUAAGCAGUGUGAGUAGAACAGAAAGCCAUCUAUAGGUCAAGGCCAGAAGUUAAAAGAUACUUAGAUAAAGGGAUGCAAUACUGAAAGCAAAGUCAAGGUUAGGGUUCAGAGUUUUGCUCUAAUUUGGAAGGCAAAGGCAAUAAUUCAACUGGAACAAGAGCAAUGAUAAUUUAUAAAACACAAGGCAAUCUGCUAAAAGUCUUUGAGUAAGGAGUUCCCUUGUGGCACAGUAGAUUAAGGAUCCAGUGUCACUGCAGGAGCUUGGGUUGCUGCUGUGGCACAGGUUAGUCACCAGCCUGGGAACUUCUAUGCCACAGGCACAGCCUAAAAAAAAAAAAAAAAAAGGCUUUGAGUACAGAAUCUCAUUUAAUUUGUUCAAUAACCCCAUGAAUUAAGUGAAUACCCUACACAUGGCUGGUGGCAGACACAGUUUUAACCUUACCUUGGAUCUUGAAGCAUGUUGUGCUUAAAGACUACACAAUACUGCAAGUUUUAAUGUCUCAGUAGGCAGUGAAGUCAUCUCAGAGGUUCAAGUUAAGUGGGUGUGGGAGUGGUAAGCACAAGUGGAAGCAGAGUCCACGUACACAGACAAAAUUGGAUCUAAGCUUGUGGUUUAAGCUGGGCGUGAAGGAACAGGCUUGGGCUGGGGUCUGAAUCAGGAGCCCAGGAUUUGGCAAAGCACCACACUCAACCUAAUACAACAGCCCUGAGAGCUAAGCAAGGCACUAGAGAUGGCAGACAGUUAUAAUGAAAGAUAAGUACUUUGCUUAGCUAGAUUUGCAACAUGGCCACUGUGUUAUACCAAGGCAUCAAGUAUAAGUGCAAAUCCAAUGGAAUUUGCUUGCUAGAUCUCUGCAUCAGAACUAAGUGCUGCAACAUGGAUAAACAAACACACAUCUUUUCCGUAAGAAACUUGUUACAGAUCAAGCAUUGGAAGAACUCAAAAAGAGCCUUCUCUUUACCUGGCUUAUUUAAGGAGCUUGCCCCAGGCAAGAAAAGAGCUGGGUGAGUUCACAAUGCUCUUUCAAAGGUAAACUUUGGGCUUCCAAUACUUUUGUUUCUUUUCCUCCACCAAAUGGCAAAGAUGCACUGAACACAAAAUUUCAUUCUCAAUCUGCUUAAAAGGCAGAUUAGGAGUUCCUGUUGUGGUGCAGCAGAAACAAAUCCGAUUAGGAACCAUGAGGUUGAGGGUUCGAUCCCUGGCCUCACUCAGUGGGUUAAGGAUCAUGUGUUGCCGUGAUCUGUUGUAUAGGUUGCAGUCUCAGCUGGAAUCCAGCAUUGCUGUGGCUGUGGCUGGCAGCUGUAGCUCGAAUUAGACCCCUAGCCUGGGAAACUCUAUAUGCCCUAAAAAGCAAAAAAAGCAAAAAAAAAAAAAAAAAAAAAA
rnacentral:lncRNA from 1 species